rnacentral:lncRNA from 1 species
ACUGUGGUUAUGAAUUUUUUUUACUUUUUGAUAGCUUUUAAAAACUAUCAGAUAUGUGAUAAUCAGAUAGAUUUCAAGUUUACUUACGGUGUAAAUUAGGAAAAUGUUUAUAAAGAUUCUAUCCAGUAUUGAUCAAAAGUAUAAAUUGUGUGUCUUUUUAAGCAGCAGUUUGGCAAUGACAAUCAAAUUGAUACUAUGUAAAAGUUUUGAAAUGUUAUAGCUGGCUACUGGGGUUUUUAUCUAUUCCAAUUCUCGAAAAUUUACCAAAUAUAGGUUGGCUGUAAAAUCAUAACUAUCUGAGGUAUCUGUCAAUAAAUCAAAGAUUGCAAUGAUUAUAGCUUCUUUAACAUGAAUGUAAUUCUAACAGUAAAAAAUUUCUAUAUGGAAUAUGUUUUGUAGUCCUAAAUUGAUAUUUUAUAUCAUUUUUCAGUGAACAAGUAGUUGUUUGCAGGUGUCUGUGCAUAUGUCUCUAGUUUUUCUAACUAAAAUAUUAAUAGUUAAGUCUAAAAAUAUGAAUUAUACGUGGGGCUUGUCAUUCUGACAUUUAAUACUUCAGCGUGGUGAUAAUGGUGAUAUAAUAUACUGUUUGAAACUGUAACACGAGUUAAAAUCAAAAGAUUGAUAUGUACAUAUUUGUAUAUUGCUACAUGACAAAAAUCUAGGAAGAAUAUGAUUCACAUGAAAAUUCUUUGGAAGGACAUGACAGAUUUUUAACAGUCCUGUAUAGUGAAAGGAGAAUAGAACGACUACUUCUGCUUUCUGUAUCUGAAAUUUUCAAAAGCUAUUUCAAAAUGAACAUUUAAACAACAGGAAAUUUUAGAGACAACCACUUUGUGCCUGUCUUCAUCCUUGACAUUCAACAUCCUAGGAACAAUGGGCUGUUGUAUUCAACUUCUUAUUCCCAACAGCCAUUAUGAAUGGUUUUUGAUUGAUCUCACAAAGAGCAUGUGAUUUAGACAUUAAUGCAGCGACUACCAUGAAACAGAGUAUUGGAUUACCUAAGGAAAGAAGCAGAAGAUGGAAUUUGAGGCAAUCAGGAUGAGUGAAAAAUUUAUUUGCAGCUGACCUGCAAAUGGAAUCAUCAGGAACAUCCCUUUCUCAUGGAGUCCCUUAAUUUACAAGUUAACUGCAAACAUAGGAGAUGAUAGUUCCAAGAAGGAACAUUUUAUCGUCUUUGUUUUUAAUCUCAAGAAUGGUACCUACCAUCAGUGAAUGACCUGUUGCAGUGCUUUCAUUGAAGUGUUCUUCAUUCCCUCAGCAAUAUGAUUGUGAUGACUGAAAAAGAGAAACUGUGCCACUAUUUGUACCAUCAUUUUCACCAAAAUCUAAAAAUGCUUUUUAUGACGUAUGGAGACAUUCUUCAUGUUUGUUUCAGUGGACACUGCUUGCAGAUGUAAAAAACUGAGAAAACUCACUUUUGGAAAGUGACCUAAAGAGUGUCAUUGAAGUGAAUUUUAAGUAGGCACGAUGAUUGUUUUCAUGGUUGCUGUUGGAUCAUAUCUCAGGAGCUGGAAUGACAGACAUUAUUGAACAAAGAAAUCAGGAUAGUGGAACUUAAAGGGCUUCAUCUCAGUGCUUUCAUAAGUAUGAAGUGCAUAUAUUUAUAAUUUUCACUAAUCACAGGGUAAAUAUAAAAUUGAUUCAUUAAAAAUGUUUCAUAAGAAUUCAAAGGACAUAGAAUUUUGUGAAAUGUAGUAUUUUUACUUAAGUGCCUUUUCUCUAUUUCUACCCCACAGCCAAUUUUUUAUAAACCAGUUGAUACAUAAGUAGUUUUGGGGGGAUGAUACAUUACUUAUACAUUUUCUAUGUAGUAAACAUGUAUGUGUAUGUGUGUGGGUGUGUGUCUAAUUACUUUGUUGGACUGAUUCCUGUGGUUUGGAACUGCUGGGGCCAAGUUUAUACAAAAAUCUACAUUUUUGAGUAAACUCCCCAUGACUCUAGUAAGUUCCCACGGUAUUUGAGAAUUCUUUAUUUCCUAAAGCUGUACAAACAUCAGAUAAUCAAUAUUUGUAAGGAUCGAUAAUAUAAUUUAUAAUGAAAUUGCUUUAUCAGCUAUUAAUGUUAACUACAUCAUCUUCAUAUAGCCUUAUAACUCAUUUGUGCUAUUCCAUUUUCCUCUGUUCCUUUUAUUUUCACUUCCCUUGUAAUGUUAGUCUCUUUGUACUGAUUUCUGAAGAGUUCAUUUAUGAUUAAACGUGUUAACAUUUUGUCUAGAAUUGCA